rnacentral:hammerhead_ribozyme from 1 species
AUCCAGCUGAAGAGUCGCGAAUAGGACGAAACGAUUAUUUUGGAU